rnacentral:rRNA from 1 species
GUGAGGAAUAUUGGUCAAUGGGCGAGAGCCUGAACCAGCCAAGUCGCGUGAGGGAAGACGGUCCUACGGAUUGUAAACCUCUUUUGUCGGGGAGCAAUAAGGCGUACGUGUACGCAGAUGCGAGUACCCGAAGAAAAAGCAUCGGCUAACUCCGUGCCAGCAGCCGCGGUAAUACGGAGGAUGCGAGCGUUAUCCGGAUUUAUUGGGUUUAAAGGGUGCGCAGGCGGAAAGUGCAAGUCAGCGGUCAAACGACGGGGCUCAACCCCGUCUCGCCGUUGAAACUGUCUUUCUAGAGUGAGCGAGAAGUAUGCGGAAUGCGUGGUGUAGCGGUGAAAUGCAUAGAUAUCACGCAGAACUCCGAUUGCGAAGGCAGCAUACCGGCGCUCAACUGACGCUCAUGCACGAAAGCGUGGGUAUCGAACAGG